rnacentral:rRNA from 1 species
UACGGGAGGCAGCAGUCGGGAAUUUUGGGCAAUGGGCGAAAGCCUGACCCAGUGACGCCGCGUGCAUGAAGAAGGUUUUCGGAUUGUAAACUGCUUUAAACGGGGAAGAAAAAGGACAGUACCUGUAGAAUAAGCUCCGGCUAACUACGUGCCACCAGCCGCGGUAAUAAGGGGGAAUUCUUUUAAA